rnacentral:tRNA from 1 species
GUCCAGGGAUGGGAAUCGAACCCACAGUGUUCCGCUUACUGGGCAGAUGCUAUGUUCCACUAGGCUACCCUGGA